AGUGAACGCUGGCGGUAGGCCUAACACAUGCCAGUCGAACGGCAGCACAGUAAGAGCUUGCUCUUACGGGUGGCGAGUGGCGGACGGGUGAGGAAUACAUCGGAAGCUACUUUUUCGUGGGGGAUAACGUAGGGAAACUUACGCUAAUACCGCAUACGACCUACGGGUGAAAGCAGGGGAUCUUCGGACCUUGCGCGAUUGAAUGAGCCGAUGUCGGAUUAGCUAGUUGGCGGGGUAAAGGCCCACCAAGGCGACGAUCCGUAGCUGGUCUGAGAGGAUGAUCAGCCACACUGGAACUGAGACACGGUCCAGACUCCUACGGGAGGCAGCAGUGGGGAAUAUUGGAAAAUGGGCGCAAGCCUGAUCCAGCCAUACCGCGUGGGUGAAGAAGGCCUUCGGGUUGUAAAGCCCUUUUGUUGGGAAAGAAAAGCAGCAGGUUAAUACCCCGCUGUUCUGACGGUACCCAAAGAAUAAGCACCGGCUAACUUCGUG
rnacentral:rRNA from 1 species